AGAGCCUAGAGGAUCAAAGUCGGAUAAGGGAAAAGAGAAAGUAAAUGAAUAGCCGUGGGUAUCUAGUCGUCAACCACUUCCGAGAUCUCAUUGGAAGCUACAGGCUCGGGGAUCGUCAGCAACUAGUCACACUAUCACUACCCACUGUUUGGUACUACUACGUUUUGGAAUAUCUUAUGGCAUGUAUAGAAUAGACUAGUAGCGGGAGGAUAUUUUGGUUAAUGUAUAUAAGCCAUGCGAAAAUGGCUUUAAGUAUACUUUGAUCAUAGCAUUGUAAUCAUUUUGUAUGUCGUCCAUCGAGAGGUAUGGAAAUGUUGGUAACGGUUAGUCAUGGGAAUGGUUAUUCAUGAUCACUUUUGGUAUAUGUAUGACAAACUCUAGUUGAUCCAUGGAGGAUCAUGAAAUAGGUAAAGUUUACCUUAAAAAUAAAUGCUGGCAGCAGCAGUGAUGUGGAUGUGAAAAAUCUCUAAAAAUAGUAGGAAUGGAAUUAAAUAGCGAAUAAAUUUUUAAUCGAACCUUGAUGAAUCUAUUUUCAUAGGAAAGUAACGAAACUUUCAUAUGAACAUUA